AGAGUUUGAUCCUGGCUCAGGAUGAACGCUAGCGACAGGCCUAACACAUGCAAGUCGAGGGGCAACAUGGUAUCAGCUUGCUGAUACUGAUGGCGACCGGCGCACGGGUGAGUAACGCGUAUGUAAUCUACCUGUAACAGAGGGAUAACCCGGAGAAAUCCGGACUAAUACCUCAUAGCACAUAUUAUUCGCAUGAAUUUUAUGUUAAAGAGACUCGGUUACAGAUGAACAUGCGUUCCAUUAGCUAGUUGGCGGGGUCACGGCCCACCAAGGCAACGAUGGAUAGGGGUUCUGAGAGGAAGGUCCCCCACACUGGUACUGAGACACGGACCAGACUCCUACGGGAGGCAGCAGUGAGGAAUAUUGGUCAAUGGGCGGAAGCCUGAACCAGCCAAGUCGCGUGGAGGAAGACGGCCCUACGGGUUGUAAACUCCUUUUACCUGGGAAUAACGGGCGCUACGUGUAGCGCUGUGCAUGUACCGGGAGAAUAAGCAUCGGCUAAUUCCGUGCCAGCAGCCGCGGUAAUACGGAAGAUGCGAGCGUUAUCCGGAUUUAUUGGGUUUAAAGGGUGCGUAGGCGGAAGAAUAAGUCAGCGGUGAAAUGCUUCAGCUCAACUGGAGAAUUGCCGAUGAAACUGUUUUUCUAGAGUAUAAAAGAGGUAUGCGGAAUGCGUGGUGUAGCGGUGAAAUGCAUAGAUAUCACGCAGAACCCCGAUUGCGAAGGCAGCAUACUGGGCUAUAACUGACGCUGAAGCACGAAAGCGUGGGUAUCGAACAGGAUUAGAUACCCUGGUAGUCCACGCCGUAAACGAUGAAUACUAACUGUUUGCGAUAUAAUGUAAGCGGUACAGCGAAAGCGUUAAGUAUUCCACCUGGGGAGUACGCCGGCAACGGUGAAACU
rnacentral:rRNA from 1 species